GAAAGAGUUCACAUUACACAUGACACAAAAAAAGCCAACUAAAGGAAAUAACUCACCAUUCAAAGCCACAUAUUGAACUUAGAAGCACUUCCUGUGGACGAUGGAUGGGCCAGAUUCGUCGUACUCACCCUUUGAGAUCCACAUCUGGUAAAACAAAGAGGUAUUAGUGCGAGAAAUGAGAACAAAAGAGAGGUUACGUGGUAAAUGUGGGGAGUAUCUCUCACCUGCUGGAAGGUACUGAGCGAUGCAAGGAUGGAUCCUCCAAUCCAGACACUGUAUUUCCUUUCUGGUGGUGCAACGACCUUGAUUUUCAUGCUGCUGGGAGCAAGAGCUGUGAUCUCUUUGCUCAUACGGUCAGCGAUACCAGGGAACAUGGUAGAACCACCACUGAGAACAAUGUUGCCAUACAAAUCUUUUCUGAUAUCCACAUCACACUUCAUGAUUGAGUUGUAGGUAGUCUCGUGGAUUCCAGCAGCUUCCAUUCCAAUGAGGGAUGGCUGGAAAAGAACUUCGGGGCAACGGAAUCUCUCAGCUCCAAUUGUGAUGACUUGUCCAUCGGGCAGUUCAUAGUUCUUC
rnacentral:lncRNA from 1 species